AGGACAAACGCUGGCGGCGUGCGUAACACACGCAAGUCGAACGCUCUGGUCUCUUUCGGGAGGGCAGGGAGUGGCGGACGGGUGAGGAACACAUGGGUAUCUACCUCCGGGUGGGGGAUACCGGCGAGAAAUCGCCGACAAUCCCGCAUAGCUUCGGGAACGAAGAAAGCAGCAAUGCGCCUGGGAUGAGCCUGUGGCCGAUUAGCUAGCUGGUGGGGUAAUGGCUCACCAGGGCGACGAUCGGUA
rnacentral:rRNA from 1 species